GGUGCUGUUAACCGAAGAGGUUGACAUUUCACAUGCGACGCAUGUUCGACCGCCCGUCGUUUCACUGUGAAGAAAACAGCGUGUUCAAGGCAGCCGCUUGCGGUUGGAUGACAAAGCAUGGAUGACAAAGCAUCGACCAGUUGGUCCGUCUUUUGUCGGUUUUUACGAUCAAUUUGGUAAUUUGUUUACGAAGCCUUCCUUCGCCGUUUUACGGUGUUGGAACUUCGUCGAACACGGGUUAAUGGGGGUUGUCGGGGGAAAACGUAUCUGAGCGUGAGAGGUGAAAUUCUUAGGCCGCUCGGGGCGGACUUAUGCGAAGGCAUUUUCCAAGUAUACCUUCAUCAAUCAAGAACUAAGUGUGGAGAUCGAAGAUGAUUAGAGACCAUUGUAGUCC
rnacentral:rRNA from 1 species